GGAGAGGUGGCCGAGCGGCUGAAGGCAGCUGCCUGCUAAGCAGUUAACGGGGUAACUCGUUCCUGGGUUCGAAUCCCAGCCUCUCCGCCA
rnacentral:tRNA from 1 species